GUGAAUACGAGCAAUAGUUGAUGGCAACUUUACCUGUGUGUUCGGCUACUGCUUGCUCUUCUUCACAUUCGCAGAUUCCUUUCUAUGGGGGGUUGAGAUCCUUUUCCUCCUGUUGGAAAACAUACCAGCUGAAAUGCAAUGUCGUGGACUUGUCUACUUCAUUUCAUCUUAAUGGACCUUCAUUCCGAGGACAAUCACCUAUAUUCUUGUACUCACAGUUUGUACAAAAUAGCAGUCUGUCCAGUUCCAGUGAUAGCAUUUGUACUUCUUGUCAGAAUGUAAUUUAUAGUGUCAAUCGUGAAUUAUUGACUAGUGACGCUCGCUCCAAUAGCACUGGAAAUCUGAAAUUUGUAGAUAGUUCUGCAGUACCUGUUGGAAGGGAGGAGAUGAUGGGUUUUAAUGAUGACUUGGUCAAUAUUGCAAACUUCUCACCAGAGUCUGCUAAUUUAGAGUCCAUAACUACAGUAGAUCUCACCCAGGGCAACCCUGCCUCGAUAUUGGAUUCAAUGGACUUGGAAACAAGUUCCUUAUCCAAUGUGAAAUCAUCUGCUUUGGACGUUCUCUCUCAAGUCAA
rnacentral:misc_RNA from 1 species